rnacentral:rRNA from 1 species
GAAUCUGGCUUCAGGUCGGGGACAACAGUUGGAAACGACUGCUAAUACCGGAUAUGCCGAGAGGUGAAAGGUUAACUGCCUGGAGAUGAGUCGCGUCUGAUUAGCUAGUUGGUGGGGUAAGAGCCUACCAAGGCGACGAUCAGUAGCUGGUCUGAGAGGAUGAUCAGCCACACUGGGACUGAGACACGGCCCAGACUCCUACGGGAGGCAGCAGUGGGGAAUUUUCCGCAAUGGGCGAAAGCCUGACGGAGCAAUACCGCGUGAGGGAGGAAGGCUCUUGGGUCGUAAACCUCUUUUCUCAGGGAAGAAAAAAAUGACGGUACCUGAGGAAUAAGCAUCGGCUAACUCCGUGCCAGCAGCCGCGGUAAUACGGAGGAUGCAAGCGUUAUCCGGAAUGAUUGGGCGUAAAGCGU